rnacentral:rRNA from 1 species
GGAUUCCCCUAGUAACUGCGAGUGAAGCGGGAAAAGCUCAAAUUUAAAAUCUGGUGGUCUUUGGCCAUCCGAGUUGUAAUCUAGAGAAGUGUUACCCGCGCUGGACCGUGUACAAGUCUCCUGGAAUGGAGCGUCAUAGAGGGUGAGAAUCCCGUCUUUGACACGGACUGCCAGGGCUUUGUGGUGCGCUCUCAAAGAGUCGAGUUGUUUGGGAAUGCAGCUCAAAAUGGGUGGUAAAUUCCAUCUAAAGCUAAAUAUUGGCGAGAGACCGAUAGCGAACAAGUACCGUGAGGGAAAGAUGAAAAGAACUUUGGAAAGAGAGUUAAACAGUACGUGAAAUUGCUGAAAGGGAAACGCUUGAAGUCAGUCGCGUUGGCCGGGAAUCAACCUUGCUUUUGCUGGGCGUACUUUCCGGUUGACGGGUCAGCAUCAGUUUUGACCAUUGGAAAAAGUCUAGAGGAAUGUGGCAUCUCCGGAUGUGUUAUAGCCUCUGGUCGCAUACGAUGGUUGGGACUGAGGAACUCAGCACGCCGCAAGGCCGGGUACUUGUACCACGUUCGUGCUUAGGAUGCUGGCAUAAUGGCUUUAAUCGACCCGUCUUGAAACACGGACCAAGGAGUCUAACAUGCCUGCGAGUGUUUGGGUGGAAAACCCGAGCGCGUAAUGAAAGUGAAAGUUGAGAUCCCUGUCGUGGGGAGCAUCGACGCCCGGACCAGACGUUUUCUGACGGAUCCGCGGUAGANGCAUGUAUGUUGGGACCCGAAAGAUGGUGAACUAUGCCUGAAUAGGGUGAAGCCAGAGGAAACUCUGGUGGAGGCUCGUAGCGAUUCUGACGUGCAAAUCGAUCGUCAAAUUUGGGUAUAGGGGCGAAAGAC